GCUCCGGUGGUGUAGUGGAAUAUCACAUCGUUCUUAUAUUGGAGUUUUUCAGCUCCAGAUAUGCGAGGGUCCUGGGUUCGAACCCCAGUCGGAGCA
rfam:Gaeumannomyces graminis var. tritici R3-111a-1 unplaced genomic scaffold supercont2.2, whole genome shotgun sequence.